ACCGGGUGUGGUGAUGCACGUCUGGAGUCCCAGCUACUUAGGGGGCUGAGGUGGGAGGAUCGCUUGAGCCCAGGAGGUUUUGGCUGCAGUGAGCCAUAUCGUGCCACUGCACUCAAGCCUGGGUGACAGAGCGAGACCCUGUCUCAG
rnacentral:SRP_RNA from 2 species